rnacentral:tRNA from 1 species
GCCCCUGUAGCUCAGUGGAUAGAGCAACGGUUUUCUAAACCGUUGGUCGCAGGUUCGAUCCCUGCCAGGGGUG